CGCCAUGGUAACCGAGAGGGCGCAGCUCAGCGUUGGCGCCAGCACCGGGGUCUUGUGCUGUCCCUCAAUGGGUGACCAGUUAAGGUGGGAACCUGUGGUCUCACAUACUUGAAGUCUGAGCUGAGUGGACCUGACUGCCAUAGACUUUCCAUUGAAAGGGGAAAUGUGUCAGAGAGAAGCGAGUCUGGGAGGAGGGAAAGUGCCUUCAGUCCAGGACUAAUUUCAAGGUUUACAACACUUUACACACUCUGCAACUCCUGAUAAUCCAGGGACUACUCCUUUGGCAGCGUUUGCUAUUCGAUGCCUCCAGAUGUACUGAAGCUGCAAAAACGAGCUCUUCAUUACAAAGAUACGUUUGUUUAGGAAGAGACUGGAUUUCACUUGUCAACUUACCCCAUCACCACGAGUCAUUUAAUGUUGGUAACGCCAGCCACGAUUUUUCGUAUCUAUAACACCCCUUCUUCCAUUGAAUUCUACCUACAAAUAACUGAAGGCUCACAUUAUUUUGGAAUAUGGACCUCCGCCUCUUGUGGAGACUUGAGAUUGCUCUUAAGCUGAUUUCCCAAACAGGGGCUGCAAUGUGUGUUCCCGAUUUUAGAUUCAUUGAGCUCACCCUAGAUGAGUCCUUUGGUUCGGUGGUUCGGAAAAGUCUCUUUGUUCCUUCUCCAAACUCAAUGUUCCAGGAUCUCUUGGUGCUCGUGCCAGUGUCUCAUGUAGAAUGUUGCGUGAUCUCUGCUCAAGAAUCUGAGUCACAAGGUUGAUGCCUUCACAGAUGACAGAACAGAAGUUCCCUGAGUACCCGAGUCUGUCUUUGCUGUUUCUAAGGUAGUGAUUAUUAAAAUGUCAAGGGAAAUGAAAUUGACUUUUGGUGAGCAGACAUUCAUGUAAAGUUAACAGUGACAAAGUGGUGAAAACCAAGCAGAUGUUCCUUCAUGGCCAUCCCUUUCCAUGAGUUUAUAUUAACAUCACCAUUGCCUCUGUCA
rnacentral:lncRNA from 1 species